AUACGGAGGGUGCAAGCGUUAUUCGGAAUCACUGGGCGUAAAGGACGCGUAGGCGGGUUGGCAAGUCAGAUGUGAAAUCCUACAGCUUAACUGUAGAACUGCAUUUGUAACUGCUAACCUAGAGCAUGGGAGGGGGAGAUGGAAUUAGUGGUGUAGGGGUAAAAUCCGUAGAUAUCACUAGGAAUACCGAAAGCGAAGGCGAUCUCCUGGAACAUAACUGACGCUAAGGCGUGAAAGCGUGGGGAGCAAACAGGAUUAGAAACCCUAGUAGUCC
rnacentral:rRNA from 1 species